CAAGUCGAACGAGAAAGGGAGCAAUCCUGAGUAAAGUGGCGCACGGGUGAGUAACACGUGGGUAAUCUACCCUCUGGUGGGGAAUAACUCUGGGAAACCGGAGCUAAUACCGCAUAAGACCGAGAGGUGAAAGGGCGAAAGUUCGCCGGAGGAGGAGCCCGCGGCCGAUUAGCUAGUUGGUAGGGUAAGAGCCUACCAAGGCUGAGAUCGGUAGCCGGCCUGAGAGGGCACACGGCCACACUGGCACUGAAACACGGGCCAGACUCCUACGGGAGGCAGCAGUGGGGAAUCUUGCACAAUGGAGGAAACUCUGAUGCAGCGACGCCGCGUGAGUGAUGAAGCCCUUCGGGGUGUAAAGCUCUUUCGACCCGGAAGAUUAUGACGGUACGGGGAGAAGAAGCUGCGGCUAACUACGUGCCAGCAGCCGCGGUAAUACGUAGGCAGCGAGCGUUGUUCGGAGUUACUGGGCGUAAAGCGUGCGUAGGCGGUGUCUUAAGUUUGUUGUGAAAUCUCCCGGCUUAACCGGGAGGGUGCGGCGAAUACUGAGAUGCUGGAGUGCCGGAGAGGUAAGCGGAAUUCCUGGUGUAGCGGUGAAAUGCGUAGAUAUCAGGAGGAACACCUGCGGUGUAGACGGCUUACUGGACGGUAACUGACGCU
rnacentral:rRNA from 1 species